UACGGAGGGCGCAAGCGUUACUCGGAAUCACUGGGCGUAAAGAGCGUGUAGGUGGGUUAUUAAGUCAGAUGUGAAAGCCUGUGGCUCAACCAUAGAACUGCAUUUGAAACUGAUAACCUAGAGUAUGGGAGAGGUAGAUGGAAUUUCUGGUGUAGGGGUAAAAUCCGUAGAGAUCAGAAGGAAUACCGAGUGCGAAGGCGAUCUACUGGAACAUUACUGACACUGAGACGCGAAAGCGUGGGGAGCAAACAGG
rnacentral:rRNA from 1 species